rnacentral:rRNA from 1 species
GCUCAUGACGGCCCAGCAGGCGCGGUAGAAGGUAGGGUGCGAGGGGUUUCCGGUUUGACUGGGCGUAAAGGGCAUGUAGGCGGUUGUGGAAGUCCGAUGUUAAAGCCCCUGGCUCAACUGGGGGAGGUCAUUGGAGACUACUCGACUUGAGGGCAACAGAGGCACGUGGAACUCCCGGUGUAGCGGUGGAAUGCGUAGAGAUCGGGAAGAACACCAGUGGCGAAGGCGACGUGCUGGGUUGCAACUGACGCUGAGAUGCGAAAGUGUGGGGAGCAAACGGGAUUAGAUACCCUGGUAGUC